UACGAAGGGGGCUAGCGUUGCUCGGAAUGACUGGGCGUAAAGGGCGCGUAGGCGGAUGGCUUUGUCGGGCGUGAAAUUCCAGGGCUUAACCUUGGGGCUGCGUUCGAGACGGGCUGUCUUGAGUGGGGAAGAGGGUCGUGGAAUUCCCAGUGUAGAGGUGAAAUUCGUAGAUAUUGGGAAGAACACCGGUGGCGAAGGCGGCAUCCUGGACCAACACUGACACUGAGGAGCGAAAGCCAGGGGAGCAAACGGG
rnacentral:rRNA from 1 species